CCUCAACUUUUAAAACCAUUGACCCAUCAAAUGGUUAGAGGUCAAAUAGAUUUCAUUGAUCGUUGGAAAUGAUAGUUCAGGGUUAAUUAGGCUCUUUUUUUUCUUUAAUGUAUCAAUUUUCACUCUUUUAUACUUGUUUUUUUUUUGCUUGAUAGUAGCCUAGCCCAUUAGGGAGACACCACACGAGUUUACUUCACCUCGCGCUGCUAGAAACCCACGACCACACUCAGCAUGCAUCACCACCAUUCCACCACCUCAACCAACAUAGGGGUGUUUGGAUAUACCUCCUAAAAUUUA
rnacentral:lncRNA from 1 species